GCAACGCGAAGAACCUUACCUGGUCUUGACAUCCAUAGAACACUUUAGAGAUAGAGUGGUGCCUUCGGGAGCUAUGAGACAGGUGCUGCAUGGCUGUCGUCAGCUCGUGUUGUGAAAUGUUGGGUUAAGUCCCGCAACGAGCGCAACCCUUAUCCUUUGUUGCCAGCACGUAGAGGUGGGAACUCAAAGGAGACUGCCGUUGAUAAAGCGGAGGAAGGUGGGGACGACGUCAAGUCAUCAUGGCCCUUACGACCAGGGCUACACACGUGCUACAAUGGCGUAUACAAAGGGAGGCGACCUCGCGAGAGCAAGCGGACCUCAUAAAGUACGUCUAAGUCCGGAUUGGAGUCUGCAACUCGACUCCAUGAAGUCGGAAUCGCUAGUAAUCGUGAAUCAGAAUGUCACGGUGAAUACGUUCCCGGGCCUUGUACACACCGCCCGUCACACCAUGGGAGUGGGUUGCACCAGAAGUAGAUAGCUUAACCGCAAGGGGGGCGUUUACCACGGUGUGGUCCAUGACUGGGGUGAAGUCGUAACAAGGUAACCAAGGGCGAAUUCCAG
rnacentral:rRNA from 1 species